rnacentral:rRNA from 1 species
CCUACGGGUGGCUGCAGUGGGGAAUUUUGGACAAUGGGCGAAAGCCUGAUCCAGCCAUGCCGCGUGAGUGAAGAAGGCCUUCGGGUUGUAAAGCUCUUUUGUCUGGGAGCAAAUCCCUUCGUCGAAUAAACGGAGGGGAUGAGAGUACCAGAAGAAUAAGCACCGGCUAACUACGUGCCAGCAGCCGCGGUAAUACGUAGGGUGCGAGCGUUAAUCGGAAUUACUGGGCGUAAAGCGUGCGCAGGUGGCGAUGUAAGCUUGAUGUGAAAGCCCCG